UGUGUGUGUGUGUGUGUGUUUCUAUGUUUCUAUGUUUCUGUGUUUCUGUGUGUGUCUGAUCCCAAAUGUCUUUGUUUCAGAAGCCAAGGAAAGAGUGAUGUUGUACACACACACACACACACAGUUGUUUAGUGAAGAAAUAGGAGCUGCUUUUUUUUUUUUUUUUUUUUUUUUUUUAGUUCAUCACAUUUUAGGUUUAAAGAUAUUUAUCUUGCUUUUGCAAUCAGGCCUUAACUUGGAUUUUUUGUUUAUUUCUGUUCUUCAACAUUGAGCUUUUCCUGAGCCAGUUAAAAGGGUUUGAAAACUGCACAAUGUUGUGACAGGUACUUUUGUAACUCAUACAUAAGCAGAAAUUGAUUUGACUGGAGGCACUGAGGAGCUGCACUGAAUCCUUGCGACGUCUGUUGGAAGCUGUUGGGUUACUGAGGGAGUGGGGCACUAUUUAUUAGUGAAACUGAUGCAAUAAAGUGUCAAGUAGUUCUCGUUUUUUAAGUGUCUGAGAUCAUUGGAUGAGAAGGGGGAUCCACACAUCUUGAAAAAUUGACAAUGACAAAUGUGGUUGUUUAGACUGCUCAACAAAUAUUUCACAAUUGUUUUAUUAAAAUAAAAAUGCAAUAGAAAUUCAGUCAUUGACUUACAUUUGGAAUAAUAUUAAGAAUAAUUUUCGUUUAGUUUUAUGUACAUUAUAUACAAAUUGUUCAGGUACAGGAGACGUUCAGUGAGUGCUUAGAAUAAUGAUGACAGAUCCCAAACAAUGCUAAGUGCCUGUGUGGAGUAACCAGUCACAGUAUGUAAGGUGAGCAGUAUUGAUCUGAUGCAUCCACAUAAAGUCACAAUGGUGUAGACAGUGCGUCUGUAGUUCCUCCACAGAGCUGACAGGGCUGAUAGUGCCACGUGGAUGAGGUCUAACAUGGUGAUGCAAGCUGACAAUGAACAUCGGCAGAGCGCAGGCACGACAUGCAGCAGGGAUUGGAUGGACUUCAGCCACGUCACAGAUCUCCCUCCACAGCACAGCGGAGAGCAGCCGCCGUUUCUGAACGCCUGUGAUGAAGGCCAGGCAGAGCAGCUGAAGCGUCCAUGUUGGUCCAACUCCUCUCGCGAGUAGAGCACACCUGCCAUCAUCAGCCUGAGGAGCAUGUUCAGCCUCAGCAUGGUUGACAGCUGCGGAGUAAUUACAGAAGACAGCCGUGGCUCUUAACAAAGACAGUCUCCAUUCUCCAACCAUGGGGAGCAUUGUGGAUAGUUAUUCGUCUAAAAGUGCGUCACAUAAAGCAUGUAAGAUCCUCUGUGCAGCAGCAGAUGCACCAGCCAAGUUCUUCACCGGAACCACAGCUGCUUUAAUCAAGGAAGCCAUGUCAGUGAGCCACCACGGACAAAACCAGGAGCCUGAACUGCAACACCUGAUUGGAUCGGAGCCAGCAAGAAUAGGAUUUAAAGAGCGACGUGCCUGUGUUGAAUGUUGAUGGCCUCACCAAAGUACCCAAGACUAAAGUGAAGAAAACCCUCCCUCUGGAUACUAGACGGCUCUGCUGCCAGGAUCUCGAUACAUGACUUCUUCAGGAUCUGAGGAGAGGAGCAGAAGGUCCCAGCACAAACAGCCCAGCCAACAGGCUGAAACACUGGAACAUCUGGAGCUAAUGGAGAAAGGGCAGAGCAGACAUGGAGAAGAGAGAGGAGAGGAGAGGAGAGGAGAGAUCAGGCAGACACUGCAUGAGGACAGUGAGGGUAGGUGGAGGACAUCACUGCUAAAAGGCAAGCUAAAUUCCUGCCUGAGGAAAAGGAAGUAAAAGGAAGAGCUAAUACACUCCACUGAUGCCCAACAAUAAAUGCUGAAUAAAUGCUGUCAGGUCACGCAUGUAAUGUAAAUCUGUGUUGUUAAAACAUGGCUCAUGCUAACAAUUACUCUGUGUUACAUACAGUUGCCUAAUUUCCCCUCAGAGGAACAGCAGUGUGCCUGCAGUUGGCAUUGAUAUGUAACUGUAGGACAACUGGAAAAUCCAUCACCAUUACUGGAGGUAGAGACUCUAAACUGUGGAGCUAUAAGAGAGGGACAUAGUGCAGACUGCAAUCCACCAACUCCAGUCUUCCAGAUAAGAGAAAAUCUGAGUUGGAUGUUGAAUUUGUUGUUGACCUAGUUGGAAAACAUUUUUGGCUCAUGGCAAAAAAAAAAAAAGUAAUAAAAACAAGCUGUUUUAAACCAGGUUUGCAAAAAAAAGAUGUCAUAAGGUAAAUAUUCUGUCACGGUCCAAAGGCAACAGUCUGGGUAAGUUGAUUGUUAGUGCCAGAGUAGCUGUGUGCAUAUUUACCUACAAAAUAAAGUGCUUUCCCUACAAGUCCUAGUCAGGAAAACUCAGUAAACACUCAAGUAUGACACUUGACAUUUUUGAGAACUGCUUUUCUUUGACUCACUUUGCUGAUUACCAACUUCCUGUUUGGCACGGAAAUAAAGUUUUGUUUACAAAUGCAAAUGAAAAUUCAACCACAAUAAGACAUUAAAGGCCAUGUCAUGCCUCAUCAAAAAUGUUAUUAUUUUGAUUCACUGUGGUUCACUGUGAUAGCUUUGAUCAGGUGCCUAUGUUGCAUGACUAAAGGGAAACGAGAGAUCACCAAAAACCAGGUUAGAUAAACAUGGAAACUGUUUCUAAAUUGAGACCAAUAUAUCCAAAUGAC